AUCUCUUUCCCUCCAUCUUGGCAUCUUGAACGUGAUUUCAUAAGCAAAACGAAGAUAUCAUACAUGUUGAGCUUCCUUGAAAAUGAGGAUGAAUGAAUUGGAUGGAUGAUGAAUUAACG